AGCGAACGCUGGCGGCAGGCCUAACACAUGCAAGUCGAACGGCCGUAGCAAUACGGCAGUGGCAGACGGGUGAGUAACACGUGGGAAUGUGCCCUUCGGUUCGGAAUAACCCAGGGAAACUUGGGCUAAUACCGGAUACGCCCUUACGGGGAAAGAUUUAUCGCCGAAGGAUCAGCCCGCGUCCGAUUAGCUAGUUGGUGGGGUAAUGGCCCACCAAGGCUCCGAUCGGUAGCUGGUCUGAGAGGAUGAUCAGCCACACUGGGACUGAGACACGGCCCAGACUCCUACGGGAGGCAGCAGUGGGGAAUAUUGGACAAUGGGCGCAAGCCUGAUCCAGCCAUGCCGCGUGAGUGAUGAAGGCCCUAGGGUUGUAAAGCUCUUUCGGCGGGAAGAUAAUGACGGUACCCGCAGAAGAAGCCCCGGCUAACUUCGUGCCAGCAGCCGCGGUAAUACGAAGGGGGCUAGCGUUGCUCGGAAUCACUGGGCGUAAAGCGCACGUAGGCGGA
rnacentral:rRNA from 1 species